rnacentral:rRNA from 1 species
CUACGGGAGGCAGCAGUGGGGAAUAUUGCACAAUGGAGGAAACUCUGAUGCAGCAACGCCGCGUGGAGGAUGACGCAUUUCGGUGUGUAAACUCCUUUUAUAAGGGAAGAUAAUGACGGUACCUUAUGAAUAAGCACCGGCUAACUCCGUGCCAGCAGCCGCGGUAAUACGGAGGGUGCAAGCGUUACUCGGAAUCACUGGGCGUAAAGGAUGCGUAGGCUGGAAAUCAAGUCGAGAGUGAAAUCCAACGGCUCAACCGUUGAACUGCUCUCGAAACUGGUUACCUAGAAUAUGGGAGAGGUAGAUGGAAUUGGUGGUGUAGGGGUAAAAUCCGUAGAUAUCACCAGGAAUACCGAUUGCGAAGGCGAUCUACUGGAACAUUAUUGACGCUGAGGCAUGAAAGCGUGGGGAGCAAACAGGAUUAGAAACCCGAGUAGUCC